UAGGGAAUAUUGCAAAAUGGGCGAAAGCCCGAUGCAGCAACGCCGCGUGGGCGAUGAAGGCCUUCGGGUCGUAAAGCCCUUUUUGAGGGGAUGAGGAAGGACAGUACCCUCAGAAUAAGCCUCGGCUAACUACGUGCCAGCAGCCGCGGUAAAACGUAGGAGGCGAGCGUUAUCCGGAUUUACUGGGCGUAAAGCGCGUGCAGGCGGAUUGGAGAGUUGGAUGUGAAAGCUCCCGGCUUAACUGGGAGAGGUCGUUCAAUACUUCCAGUCUUGAGUGCAGUAGAGGGAAGUGGAAUUCCGGGUGUAGUGGUGAAAUGCGUAGAUAUCCGGAGGAACACCAGUGGCGAAAACGGCUUCCUGGACUGUAACUGACGCUCAGACGCGAAAGCUAGGGUAGCAAACG
rnacentral:rRNA from 1 species